rnacentral:rRNA from 1 species
UACAGAGGGGGCCAGCGUUAUUCGGAAUUAUUGGGCGUAAAGGGCGCGUAGGCGGCCAUGCGUGUCUUCCGUGAAAUCCCUCGGCUUAACUGAGGACGUGCGGAAGAAACUGCAAGGCUUGAGUCCGGGAGAGGGGGGUGGAAUUCCCAGUGUAGCGGUGAAAUGCGUAGAUAUUGGGAGGAACACCAGUGGCGAAGGCGGCUCACUGGACCGGUACUGACGCUGAUGCGCGAAAGCGUGGGGAGCAAACGGG